UCACACUCUGUCUCUCUCUCUCAAAAAUAAAUAAACAUUAAAAAAAAAUUUUUUUUUAAACGUCACUGUGAAGACUUAACCAUCCCUCCCAGUUGCUUCCUCCUCUACCUGCCUGUCACCACCUUAACCCAGGGACCACACAGUAUCCCCAGUGGUGGGACAACCAGCAUUUCAUGCCUCCCAAUAGGAUGCAGUAGACUUCACAGUUCUACCUAUUCUGGCUCUUGCCAAAAAUGUUGAGCGUAAAUAUAAUCAGGUCUUUAGAGCUGGCUGCAGUUUACUGGAAUUUCAGGGGUAGAGGAACACAUUAAAUAAUACCCAGAAAAGCAACCAAACAAAUCCAGAAUGUGGGACAAUUUAUAAGACAACUGGGAUGAUCUCUUAAAAGUCAAUGUCUUGAAAACAAAGCAAAAGCAAUGGGAGAGGAGGUUCUAGAUUUAAAGAGAUCUAAGAGUCCAACAACUAAAUAUGAGAUGUGAUUCUUUUUAAAGUUUUUAUUUUAACGUUUAUUUAUUUUUGAGAGAGAGAGAGCGAGUGCAAGCAGGAGAGGGGCAGAGAGGGAGACACAGAAUCCAAAGCAGGCUCCAGGCUCUGAGUUGUCAGCACAGAGCCUGACAAGGGGCUCAAACCCACAAACUGAGAUCAUGACCUGAGCCAAAGUCUGACGCUUAACUGACUGAUCCACCUAGGCCCCCCCAUGUGAUUCUUGAUUGUAUCUUGGUUCACUUUUCUUUUAAAGCUAUAAAGACCAUGUUUUUACACAAUGGGGGGAAUUUGACUAUGAAUUGGGUAUUAGAUGAUGUAAGGAAAUUAUUGUUAAUUUUGUGAGUUAAGUCUACUGUGGUUAUGGAAGGAGAAUUCUUACAGCUUUUGGAAAUGCAUGCUAAGUGUUUAGGGCUCAAGUGUUAGAAUAUCUGUAAUUCACUUUAAAAUGGUUUAGCCACAAAUUUAACAUAUAGUGAGAUGAGGUAAAUAUGGUGAAAUGUUUACAAUUGUUGAAUCUACAUGAUCAAUAUGUAUUCAGUUUACAAUUCUUUCUACUUUUCUGUAUGUUUCAACAUUUCCUUAAAAAGGGUUUUUUAAUACUGAAAUAUAAUUGACAUGUAACAGUAUAUUCUUUCAGGUGUACAACCCAUGAUUCGGUCCAUAUAUAUAUUGCAGAAUGAUCACCACAAUAAGUCUAAUUACCAUCCAUCGCCAUGCAUAGUUACAAUUUUUUUCUUAUGAUGAGAACUUUUAAGAUAUACUCUCUUAGCAACUUCCUAAUAUACAAUAUUAUAACUAUAGUCACCAUGCUGUAUGGUAUAGCCCCAGGACUUAUUUAUUUUAUAAAUAUAUAUUAUGUAUAUAAAUACACAUACACACACACACACAUACAGGUAUCUACCUAUUUAUAAAUACAUAAAGGUUUUUAAAAAGCUCCUUCCCCUGGAGGAACCUCCUAUAGCAGGUUUCUGGGCCUUCAUUAAAACACGAAUCACAGUAUUUGGAGGUGAUGUUUGCCAGUGGGUCUUUCCAUUCAGAUUACAGACUAUGAGCUCCCCGGGGUAGGAUCCAGAUGAACUGUAUUUCUCUCAUGGUGCCACAUUCAUAAUAAACAGGCAAUAAACAGGUGUUGAAUGAAUGAAGACUGUACUAUUGCCAGAGUGCAUGAUUCCUCAGUAAACUUACUCUUAGGAAUCUCCCAGAAUGAAAAAUGAUAACACAAACUUUUAUUGAGAAAUAGACCAAGCUUGGUCCUAAGUUCCUAAUUUUGUUCAUCAUGGAUUUUUUGCAUUCGUUUUGGUUUUUAAAAUACUGUGUUCAAGUAUUAUUUACCUAGGUUACUAACUUUGGGGGGCCUCCCCUAUUUUAGUGCCUGAAGCAAGUGAGGCACCCUGAUAUGAUCCCUAUAAAACAGGGUUUGGGGCACAUAUCUGAGUAAUGCCCCAUUGCCCUAUGGGGAUCCUUCCAGAUCCUAUCACUUUAUUUGUCUGACAGAAUUGACGUUUGUUUGGUCUCACUGUACUAUUGCUCUUGUCAUCUGACCUAAAGAGAGGGUUUGCAAUCUGCAGUGCAUAUUUAUUUUGCUGCCCCAGCAACAUUCUCCCUGCUCUGGCAACAACAACUCUAUGUUGCUUGGGGACCCUCCCCUCCCCAUCCACCGAACUGACUCCAGCCUAUGCCUAGAGGUGGGCAUGUGACUCAGCUCUGCCAUCAGAGCCUUGCAACCACUGGCCAUAGUCGUGGCUUCAGAGUAGUCAUAUGACUCAAUCACAGCCAAUGAGAUUCAAUUCUGGGGGUUUGAUCUCAACUUUGGAGAAGGGAUACUUUCUUUUUUCUGGUACCUGAGAUGGGAUGUAAGCCACGUGGGGUGUUGAGCCUCUCUGAGACUGGAGCUCGUACAGAAGACAGCAGUAUGGAGUGAUGGAGUCAGGGAGGAGACAUCCGGAUAGUAUUGGAGCUCCUGGAUUCAGCUGUACAUGAAGUAUUUUUUGAUUGACCAUUCAGUGCUAGGCACUGUGUUGGGUGCUGAGUGCUGGGCAGAGUGGGGAAGCAGACAUAGCCCCUGCCCACGAAGAGAUCGCUGUGCAUAGCAAAUACACCAUCUGACCGGCUGUGUCUCCAGCCUGCAGCCUGUGAGCAGCUACAAGUCGACAGCUUUGAUACCGGCUUGAAAGAACAACUUCGCUCCUGCUUCUACAGGAGAACCAAAUACAUUUAACUGGUUUCAUUCA